UUCUUUUCCUUGCAGAACUAGAAGUACUUGAAGCAACUCAGCUUGCUGAGUUCCAACGAUGUAUGGUUCCUCUUUUCAGCCAGAUUGCCCUUUGCCUCAAUAGCUCUCAUUUUCAGGUCGCAGAAAGAGCCCUCUUCUGGUGGAAUAAUGAGCACAUUGUGAGCUUAAUUGCCCAAAACCGGCAGGUGAUAUUACCGAUUAUCUUCAAGGCAUUGGAGUAGAAUAUCCAAAAUCAUUGGAAUCAGGCUAUUCAUGGGUUGACUGUGAAUGUGCAAAAGGUGUUCAUGGCAAUGGAUGCCGAGUUGUUCGAGGAGAGUGAGAGACAAUUUGAAGAGAAAAAGGCCAGAGCCCAAGAGGUGGAAGAGCAACGAGAAAUGACUUGGAAAAAAAUGGUGGAUGCGGCAGCGCAGAGAGGGAAAGAUGAUAUGGUUACAGCCUAAUGGAUGAAUCAGAGUUGAUCCGUCAAUGAUUGGGUGCUGGGAUGAUGGCUGUGCUGCUGUUCCCUUCUCCGUUAUGGUGGUAUUCUCUUUUCAAUUUUACUUUGGGGCUGAAAAUGAUCAUUGAAGAUACCUGAGAAAGAGCGGCGAUCAAUGUAAUGUAAACUGUAUUGAAUUGGCUAGUAAAACAUGUUGCAGAUAAGAAUGAUAUGCGAGGAACGACUUGUAUUUUUUUCUCAAGCUAUUUGUUCUUCCAACACGAAAAUUAUCAGAUUUUUUAUUUUUAUUUGACAGUACUAGUUGU